GGGGGAAUAGCUCAGCGGUUAGAGCAGGACGCUCAUAACGUCUUGGCCGGGGGUUCAAAUCCCUCUUCCCCCACCA
rnacentral:tRNA from 1 species